rnacentral:rRNA from 1 species
GACGAACGCUGGCGGCGUGCUUAACACAUGCAAGUCGAACGGAAAGGCCCUGCUUGCAGGGUACUCGAGUGGCGAACGGGUGAGUAACACGUGGGUGAUCUGCCCUGCACUUCGGGAUAAGCCUGGGAAACUGGGUCUAAUACCGGAUAGGAGCCAUUUUUAGUGUGAUGGUUGGAAAGUUUUUUCGGUGUAGGAUGAGCUCGCGGCCUAUCAGCUUGUUGGUGGGGUAAUGGCCUACCAAGGCGGCGACGGGUAGCCGGCCUGAGAGGGUGGACGGCCACAUUGGGACUGAGAUACGGCCCAGACUCCUACGGGAGGCAGCAGUGGGGAAGAUUGCACAAGGGGCGCAAGCCUGAUGCAGCGACGCCGCGGGGGGGAUGACGGCCUUCGGGUUGUAAACUCCUUUCGCUAGGGACGAAGCUUUUUGUGACGGUACCUAGAGAAGAAGCACCGGCUAACUACGUG